GGAUCGAACCCACAUCUCCUGCCUUGCAGGCGGAUUCUUUAGCACCAGUGCCACCUGGGAAACCACCUGGGAAGGCCGCCGUUUAAACAUUGGCUAAACUGAGCCGCAGGUGCAUUGCUGAGCGGGCGGACUUGGGGCGGUGCCUUUAACACCCUUACCCCUCCCAGCAAGGGAAAAAACGGAAACGGAAGCUGAGCAUGCUCUUCUCUGAGCCCCGAGGCCUGGUGGGGCAGCUGCCACAGAAGGAAGCGUUAGUGUGGGGCAAGAGGAAUGACUGUUAAGAUUUCAUAAAUUUGAGUAUCACGCCUGACUGGCUGGAGGAGGCAAUAAACAGUUUCAUUUUGAGCCUGAAUGAUGGAGACGAGGAUGAUGCCUUUGAAUUAUUAUUUUGAUGCACGAAUUUCAGUCUUCUGAGUAGAAACAGGAGACAUGCCUUCUCUCCAUUUCCAGGCUCUGUGAAAUAUGUUGCAAGGCCUAUCUGUCUGCAACAGGACACUCUGAGCAUUGCUUGCCAUUCAGUGCCCAUGAAAAGAAGGUACAAAGACUGAGGAGAGUCAAGGUUGAGUGGAUCAAACAGAUUUGGGUCCUGCCAAGAUGAGAGGUUCAGAGUGGAAACUUCUGAGCUUCAGCAACACUCUGAUCCUGUUUCUUUCUACAAAGAAUGAUUGGUCCUGAACCAUGGAAGGAGAUGACUGGAUGUGGUAUUAACUCCUUCCAGAAAGGAUCCAUAAUCUGGGAUGCUACACUCCAGGACCACCGAUGCUGCUAAUUCCUGGUUCCUGUAACACGGCUGUGCAUGUCAGAGGCUGGAGCUGUUUGCAGUGUAUGGGAGAAACUAUCUAAUUGUAUAGUAGGUGCAGUAAAGCAUGUUAUAUGAUAUAAAUUUGAGUCAAGAAAUAUAUUAGAGGUAAGCAGGGGCAUUCCUGCAGCCUGCACAAAUAAGUCAUCCAAAUUGAUAGUACUAUUUAAGUAUUUUAAAGUCAACUAGUAAUUUAUGAAUCCUUUCUGGUAAAGAGAUUCAUGCAAUAUAGAUAAAAUCAAAGUUACUUUUGAACAUCAUUGGAAAUUUCAGUCUCCUCCCCUAAGGCAACUACUGUUACCAUAUUGUU